AGACGGAGGGUGCAAGCGUUGUUCGGGAAUCACUGGGCGUAAAGCGCGUGUAGGCGGUCUGAUCAGUCGAGUGUGAAAGCCCGAGGCUCAACUUCGGAAGUGCACUCGAAACUGUCAGGCUUGAGCACGGGAGAGGGAAGUGGAAUUCCUGGUGUAGAGGUGAAAUUCGUAGAUAUCAGGAGGAACACCGGUGGCGAAGGCGGCUUCCUGGACCGAUACUGACGCUGAGACGCGAAAGCGUGGGGAGC
rnacentral:rRNA from 1 species